rnacentral:rRNA from 1 species
GCCGCGGUGAAUACGUUCCCGGGCCUUGUACACACCGCCCGUCACACCAUGGGAGCCGACAAGGGCAGAAGUCGCCGAGCUAACCUUCGGGAAGCAGGCGCCCAAGCUCUGGUUGACGACUGGGGUGAAGUCGUAACAAGGUAGCCGUAGGAGAACCUGCGGCUGGAUCACCUCCUUU